AAGACCUUGCGCUUUUGGAGCGGCCGAUGYCUGAUUAGCUUGUUGGURAGGUAAAAGCUUACCAAGGCUUCGAUCAGUAGCUGGUCUGAGAGGACGRCCAGCCACACUGGGACUGAGACACGGCCCAGACUCCUACGGGAGGCAGCAGUGGGGAAUUUUGGACAAUGGGGGCAACCCUGAUCCAGCCAUGCCGCGUGAGUGAAGAAGGCCUUCGGGUUGUAAAGCUCUUUCAGCCGGAACGAAACGGUUACGGUUAACACCCGUGACUACUGACGGUACCGGAAGAAGAAGCACCGGCUAACUACGUGCCAGCAGCCGCGGUAAUACGUAGGGUGCRAGCGUUAAUCGGAAUUACUGGGCGUAAAGCGUGCGCAGGUGGUUUUGUAAGUCAGAUGUGAAAUCCCCGGGCUCAACCUGGGAACU
rnacentral:rRNA from 1 species